rnacentral:rRNA from 1 species
CCUACGGGUGGCAGCAGUGAGGAAUAUUGGUCAAUGGUCGGGAGACUGAACCAGCCAAGCCGCGUGAGGGAUGAAGGUACAGAGUAUCGUACACCUCUUUUGUCAGGGAACAAAGGCUGGGACGUGUCCCCGGAUGAGUGUACCUGAAGAACAAGCAUCGGCUAACUCCGUGCCAGCAGCCGCGGUAAUACGGCGGAUACGAGCGUUAUCCGGAUUUAUUGGGUUUAGGGGGUGCGGAGGCGGUCUGUUAAGUCAGCGGUAAAAGCCCGGGGUCAAACCCCGGACCGCCGUUGAAGCUGGCAGUCUCGAGUGGGAGAGAGGUAAGCGGAAUGCGGGGGGUAGCGGUGAAAUGCAUAGAUAUCGGGCAGAACACCGAUUGCGAAGGCAGCAUGCCGGCUCCACACUGACGCUGAGGCACGAAAGCGUGGGUAGCGAACAGGAUUAGAUACCCCGGUAGUC